UAGUAACGGCGAGUGAAGAGGGAAGAGCCCAAGAUUGAAAGCUGGCGUCUUCGGCGUCCGCAUUGUAAUCUCAAGAAGUGUUUUCCGCUUCGGACCAUGCCUAAGUCCCUUGGAAAAGGGCAUCAUAGAGGGUGAUAAUCCCGUACAUGGCAUGGAGCGCCCGAAGCUUUGUGAUACGCUUUCUAAGAGUCGAGUUGUUUGGGAAUGCAGCUCAAAAUGGGUGGUAAAUGCCAUCUAAGGCUAAAUAUUGGGGAGAGACCGAUAGCGAACAAGUACAGUGAUGGAAAGAUGAAAAGAACUUUGAAAAGAGAGUUAAACAGUACGUGAAAUUGCCAAAAGGGAAGGGUAGGAGGUCAGAGAUGCGGCCUAGGAUUCAGCCUUGCUUUUGCUUGGUGUUUUUCCUAGGUUGCAGGCCAACGUCGGUUUUGGGCACUGGAGAAGGGUGGAAGGAAUGUGGCACCUCUCGGGGUGUGUUAU
rnacentral:rRNA from 1 species